rnacentral:lncRNA from 10 species
GAAGGAGAAUCUCAGUCCACCUUGCUUCUCUCUCCAUUUAGACUCUAAACAGAGGUAGGGGUAAAAUCAUCUAAGAAAAUCCAGGGUCAGAGGAGUGGAGACUGAAGAGGAGAGCCCUUGUUGUGAGCAGCGAGCGGCUGGCAGGAAAUGCCACCUGAGCCAGCAGCCAGACCCUGCCUGGCAGGUACCACGAGGCCUGUUCCCUGGCACAGAAGCCAGAAAGCCAGUGGAAGUAGAGAGGAGUUCCAUUGUCCUGGAGCUUGGCUGUCACAGGUCUCCUGAACCAGGCUACUCAUUGGAAGCAGGGAUCUUCCAAUCCCCGUGACUCAGGCAAUGAGACAUCCAUUAAGCCUAAUAAGAGAUAACUGGUUCAUUUAGUACAAAUUGCCCUCCCCCCGACACUUCCCCUGCCCUAUUGGAGCUGGAAUAUGAAGCAAUGGAAGGGGAAGGGCUGAAAAUGGGUGGUGUGGAAUGGAUCCCAGUCAUUCGCAGGCAAUGCUGGCACACGGUGGAUAUAUACACCGGGAACCCGUCUUUGCCAAGGUGAAGUAGCAUCCUUAGGGAUUACUUCCUCCGCCUUCGCGCCUGCCUGCUUCUGUUGGGGCAGGGCUCUGUGCAUGAGGAUGAAGACAAAUCUACAGGAGGAAGAUUCAAAAGAUCUCUGUUUGGGGAAGCUCUAAAACUGAAAAAUAAUCACAGCUAACAUUUACUGAGCAUAUGCUGCAUGCCUAGUAUUGUUCUAAGGGCUGUAUGGAUAUGAACUCAAUCCUCACAACUACCCCAUAAUGUAACUACUAUUAUUAUCCCUGUUUUCAUAUGAAAAAAACAAGAACUAGAGAGGUUAGCUACAUAAAAUGUCCAAGGUCACACAGAAAGGAAGGGAAAGAACCUAGAUUUGAAUCCCUGUCUGGUUUCAGGGCCCAUGUGCUUUGCUGUCAACUACUCUGCAAGGUACCUCUCUGAUAGGGAGGGACUUACCCAGCUUUCGCUCUACCCUCAGGGAGCUCCAGAAUGGUGUGACAUGCAUAUUCCUUGCCCCUCAAGAAUCCCCAAGUUUGAUAGGGGAGGCAGAUAUCCUGUCCUAGGAAGAUAUGUCCAGUCUGAUGGAAAAGACACAAGCUUUAUCUUUGGAUCAUCUGACUAAUACUAGGGACUCAGCCCCAGGAUGUCUACAGUUUGAUGAGUUAUGUUAUUAGAUUCUAAGAGACUCAGUUAAUUCGACUAGACAAAAUUGUGAGCCUUAGUGUUAAAGAGACGAGGAUGGAGCAAAGUUAGGGCAGCUUAAUUGGGGUUGCCCCAGGAGGGGAGGGUGAUACAAGAUUGGCAAUAAGCAGAAGAAAUGCUAGUGGAGAUAAGAGGGCAGGACACUUGUGUGGUGUGCAGACUUGCUGAAGACAAUGUCUGGAAAGCAGGGGUUUGCUUAGUUUAGCAGCUCUCUACCUUGGCUGUCUACUAGAAUCACCUGGAGCUAUGUCUAAAAAUACUGAUGCUUGAACUUCACCCCAGAACAAUUAAUCUUUAGGGAUGAGGGCAUGGCACUGGUGUUUUUAAACAGCCCUCAGGGCAGGGCAUGGUGGCUCAUGCCUGUAACCACAGCACUUUGGGAGGCUGAGGCGGGUGGAUCACCUGAGAUCAGGAGUUCGAGACCAGCUUGGCCAACAUGGCGAAAUGCUGUCUCUACUAAAAAUACAAAAACUACCCAGGCAUGGUGGCACACACCUGUAAUCCCAGCUACUUGGGAGGCUGUGGCAGGAGAAUCACUUGAACCCGGGAGGCGGAGGUUACAGUGAGCUGAGAUCAUGCCACGGCACUCCAGCCCAGGUGACAGAUCUAAACUCCAUCUCAAAAAAUUAAAAAAUAAUAAUAAUAAAAUUAAAGGCCCUCAGGAGGUGCUAUGCACAACUGGUGUUGAGGACCACUGGCUGGGGAUGAGGUCUAUGGUGUCUUAAGCUCUGAGAUCUGGGAUGCUGGAUGACUUAUGUGGAAGAAAUUCUAGAGACAUGAGUUUGCUAUGAACUGAGCUGGUGAAGAUUUGGAAUUAAAGGAAAGGGGGAGGGAAAAGAAAAGCUAAAGGACCAGAGGAGACAGGCCAGAUUGUUGUUUUCGCUGUUAGUGAGCUAGAGAAACUUGGUUCCUCUGUUUCUAGGCUUUUGAGGCAAAAUAAAAGGCCCACAAAAAUCCAAAAGGUCUGAUAACCCAGUCCCUUCUCAUAAAAAGAAUAGCUAUCAAGCCUGAUAUCAGACAUGGAGAUUAGGCAGGAAACACUGAGCUAAGAAUAUUCCCUUCCUUCGAUUAAAGACCUUUUUUUUUAAAUUAAUGCUCUCCUAGGCCGAGUGUGGUGGCUCACACCUGUAACCCCAGUACUUUGGGAGGCCGAGGCAGGCAAAUCACUUGAGGUCAGCAGUUCAAGACCAGCCUGGCCAACAUGGUGAAACCCCAUCUCUACUAAAAAUACAGAAAUUAGCUGGGCAUGGUGGCGGGUGCCUGUAAUCCCAGCUACUCAAGAGGCUGAGGCAGGAGAAUCGCUUGAACCCAGGAGAUGGAGGUUGCAGUGAGCCAAGAUCAUGCCACUACACUCCAGCCUGGGUGACAGAGUGCAACUCCUUCAAAAAAAAAAAAGAAAGAAAAGAAAAGAAAAGAAAACACACACACACCAAAAAUAAUACUUUCCUAAGUCAGGGUCACCCUCGCCUUCCCCUCCAUACACCAUCAUGUGGAGUGGAAAGGAGAAAAGGCUGUCUCGCUGACAUGUCCGGAGCUCCCUACCUCAGGGUUUUUGCCUUUGCUGCUACCAUCUUCCUGCUGCAUUCUUCCCUCAGACGCCUGAGCAGCUAAACCCUCAGUUCCUUCAGGUCUGUGCCCAAAUGUGGCUGUAGCAGAACAGCUUUCUUUGAUUACCUGUAAGAACAGUAAUUCCUCCCUCUCUCCCUCUCCCUAAUCUUUUAUCCUGCUUUAUUUGUCCCCCAUAGCAUUUACCAUAACCUAGUAUAUUUCAUAUUUUUUUCUACUGCCUCUGACUUUCCUCCAGAAUGGAACAUUAAAGGGAAAGACUUUGUCCUUUUUUUUUUAUUAUUAUUGUCUCCCCAAAGCCUAGAAUGGUGACUGGAAAAUAGCAGUCUGGAGCUGAAAAAAUAUCUGUGGAAUGUAUGAUUAAUGAAUGAACAAAUGAAAAGCCUUAUGUGUCUGUGUGUUGGUGUCUUUCUGUGUACGUUUGGGAUUGCAGUCCUAUUUCUCUGGCCAAAGUAUGGCUCUAUUCUUAAGCUGUGCUUGCCUGUGUUUUGGAAUAUAUGAAGAAUUCUCUGGGUCUGUGCAUAUGGGGC